rnacentral:misc_RNA from 1 species
GAUGAAGAACGUAGCGAAAUGCGAUAAGUAGUGUGAAUUGCAGAAUUCAGUGAAUCAUCGAAUCUUUGAACGCACAUUGCGCCCUUUGGUAUUCCUUAGGGCAUGCCUGUUCGAGCGUCAUUUGAAACCUCAAGCUCAGCUUGGUGUUGGGUGUCUGUCCCCGCCUCACCGCGGGGACUCGCCUCAAAAUCAUUGGCGGCCGGUACGUUGGCUUCGAGCGCAGCAGAAACGCGAACUCGAGGCCCGGCGGAUCGGCGACCAGAAGUCACUUCUUCACAGUUUGACCUCGGAUCAGGUAGGGAUACCCGCUGAACUUAAGCAUACAAUAAGCGGAGGA